CUCCUAUUUACCUUCAAACUCUCAUCUACCGCUCUGACAUCUCCAUCUGUCUCCUAGAGAGAAACACAGCCUGUCUGCACUUCAUCCAUCACAUCUGAUCUGGUGUGUUAAACCAUUCCACAUGGAGCCCUGAUCCCUGUUGUUGCAGUUCCUGCUCUGCCCACUAGGUGUGCUCUAUAACUCUCUAGACGCUAAAGACGGAGUGUGUCUCAGUUCUCUGUGGAGUGGACCUAUAAAAGAAGGAAGAAGUGUUUGAAGUGAGGUGAAGAUGUGUGAAUGUGUGACGACGAGUCUCUGCUGUGUGAUUGGAUAAUUGCCUGGAGCGCCUGCUCACUGACCUUUCCAUCACCACAGGAGGUGUGUUCCUCAAGGAGCCUGUGGAACAGAGAAAAGCUACUGAUUCGGGGCCCGUCCCCUCUCCGUUUUGUAGGCAGUAAUCCGGCUGCAUGGGGCGGCCAUGACAUUUACCCAGGAAAUUACCAUCAGCCCAGCUGUGUCCUGACGCGAUGAGGGACAACUGACUGACUGACAGACGGCAGUCUGAAAGCCGUAACCACGGCAACGCCUGGUCUCUCCUGGACGGAGGGCUUCGAGUCUCUAAUUGGAAUUCACUCAGUUGGAUCCGAAUUAGAAUAAGAAAAGGCCUGAAAUGGAUUAUAACUUACUGUGUGUGUGUGUGUGUGUGUGUGUGUGUGUGUGUGUGUGUGUGUGUGUGUG